CUGUAACAGAAACUUCUCGAGAAGAAAUCAAUGAAACCACAUUUCGGAAAUACAAGCAACUCUAUCUAAAAGAAUUGAAAAUUAGAAAAUUGUCAUACAAAAAACUAAGAGAAAUUCAUCAGAAUCUAACAGAAGACACUGCUGAUUUGCUUGAUGAAAAAAAGAGUAACAGAUCUUGAUGUAUCACUCUUGCCAUAAGCUGCUUCUGAAUAUGCAUCUGGAUUCGACAUAUCUUCUCCUUUAAUCAUAUGAUGUGUUAAAUGUAAACCAAGUUCUAGUUGGAAAAGCACAUGAGAAUAUAUACAAAUUUUACAGAAAAAAGUUCCAUAAUCAGAAAGAUAAUAAAAUGUUCUUACUGGGCUGUUUAAAUGGUGUACUGUUUUUCAUUCAAUGUAUCACAUGGGAGAAUCUUUGCGAAAAGAAAA